rnacentral:lncRNA from 1 species
UUUUACUGAAAAGAGAAAAAUACACUGUGUUUACAAACACUUAAAAGUUUCUCUCACCCACAACCCAAUUACACCCAAGAGUUUCUCUCACAGAAAUUUUUCUCACACUAGAAAAUUUCUCUAACUCUCAAAUUACAAUUUUUCUAUCAAAUGCAAAUGCAUUCAUUGUCUUGAGAAAAAUUGAAUUUUCCUACAACUUCAAUGAGUAUUUAUAGGAUUCAUGUGGUAUACCUCAUGUC